UACGAAGGGGGCUAGCGUUGCUCGGAAUCACUGGGCGUAAAGCGCACGUAGGCGGGUCUUUAAGUCAGGGGGGAAAUCCUGGAGCUCAACUCCAGAACUGCCUUUGAUACUGAGGAUCUCGAGUCCGGGAGAGGUGAGUGGAACUCCGAGUGUAGAGGUGAAAUUCGUAGAUAUUCGGAAGAACACCAGUGGCGAAGGCGGCUCACUGGCCCGGUACUGACGCUGAGGUGCGAAAGCGUGGGGAGCGAACAGG
rnacentral:rRNA from 1 species